GGGAGAUGCAAGAUGGGAGACGGCAGGCAAGAACCGAUCAGACGGCCAGCCGGAUAGGAAAGCAGAUGGCUUGAUUUCUUCACGCUGUUUCGAAACAAUAGAUCGCUUCAUGGUGAAAUAAUAAUAAGGUGUUGUCACUUAGGGGGUGGUUGUUGUAGUUUUGGCAAUUUCGGCAUACCAGCGUUACAAUAAUGCCUACUCUAUUUAUUCCAAUUUCCUUUCUGGGCAAAAUAGAACAAAAAAUGUAGCAGACAACAAUCUUGUGAAAAAAGUAAGCGUAGGUAUCACUAUUUCUUUGAGUCUCCUUUUCUCUGACUUUUCGUUUCAAAUUUAUUGGAAAAUCUGAGCGAUAGUUUGCAAUAAUUGUGAUUUUGUAAGUAAAUUUUUGCUAAAAUAUAUACAUAUAUAUGUGCAUAUUGAUGAAAUUUGUUUGUUUGUAUAUUUCUUCAAGUUGUUGUUUAUAUAUUUCUUCAAGUAGGUUGAGCUAUUAUCCCGCAAAAAGCAGCGAUUUAUUCAAGAUAAUUCCAGGUUUUUAGAACAGCACCUUUUAAGUUUUAGAGCUGGCUACAGUUGUUUAUUGGGGCAGUGUCUCAUCAGCGGCGCUACCAACAGCGGUGUUAUAAGCAAGUUCCAGAUUUUUGGAGUAGUGCACACCAGCAGCAUCAUCACCUUCUACAACUAGGGAUUUUUCAAUUGCGUUUCAGGUAAGAAUUUAGCAAUUGCCAAUGAAUCAAAUUGGUAACUUAUUUUUUUAUUUGUUUUUGGCUUACACCAUCUUGUAAUGAUAUAAUUAUUAAUACACCAUGGCUCACACUAAUCACGGAUUCGGUACUUAUCUCCAAGCGUUUCCGCUCGGAUGACUAUGAUGAGGGACUUCGGUCUAGCCACUUAAACGUAUAAUUAUUUAAUAAUAUAACAGAUAGAAUUUAGAUGUGUAAGUUUUAAAUGGUAACGAAAAUAUAGUUUGUAAUAAAAUUCCCGUCAAAGUUAAGUUAUUUAAAAACUUAGUACGCAUAUAUACUUCAGAACUUAAGGAAAAAAAUACAAAUAAAAUUCCAUACUUGAUAUGUUAUUUUUAUUAGAAGUUAAAUAUAA